AAAACUGUAUAUAGGAGUUGGCCAUUUGGUUCGUUUUGUGAGGAGCGUUAAUAGGUUAGGGCCCAAGCCACUGAAGAGGUGCACAUGCGUAUGGGGUUGCAUGUACGUGCAAAAGAAUCCAAGCAUUUUGCUGUUUUUGAUAAUGAGAUAUCUUCUUAUUUGGCUUUUCAAUAGCAUUCAAUUGCGCUUCGUACAUCAGAUGUCUCUCUUUCUUUCUGAAUUGACAAGAUCACUUUUGUUCAUUACAUU
rnacentral:lncRNA from 1 species